rnacentral:rRNA from 1 species
UUGGAGGGCAAGUCUGGUGCCAGCAGCCGCGGUAAUUCCAGCUCCAAUAGCGUAUAUUAAAGUUGUUGCAGUUAAAAAGCUCGUAGUUGAAUUUCGGGAUCAAUUUGCUGGUCGUGCCUCUGGUACGUACUGGUAUUAUUGGUUUCUCCCUUCUGACGAACCAUGAUGUCAUUAAUUUGAUGUCGUGGAGAAUCAGGACUGUUACUUUGAAAAAAUUAGGGUGUUUAAAGCAGGCAUUAGCUUGAAUACAUUAGCAUGGAAUAAUGAAAUAGGACGUUUGAUCCUAUUUUGUUGGUUUCUAGGAUUGACGUAAUGAUUAAUAGGGAUAGUUGGGGGCAUUAGUAUUCAAUUGUCAGAGGUGAAAUUCUUGGAUUUAUUGAAGACUAACUACUGCGAAAGCAUUUGCCAAGGAUGUUUUCAUUAAUCAAGAACGAAAGUUAGGGGAUCGAAGACGAUCAGAUACCGUCGUAGUCUUAACCAUAAACUAUGCCGACUAGGGAUCGGAUGAUGUUAAUUUUUUAAUGACUCAUUCGGCGCCUUACGGGAAACCAAAGUGUUUGGGUUC